rnacentral:rRNA from 1 species
GAUGAACGCUGGCGGCGUGCCUAAUACAUGCAAGUCGAGCGAACAGACGAGGAGCUUGCUCCUCUGACGUUAGCGGCGGACGGGUGAGUAACACGUGGAUAACCUACCUAUAAGACUGGGAUAACUUCGGGAAACCGGAGCUAAUACCGGAUAAUAUAUUGAACCGCAUGGUUCAAUAGUGAAAGACGGUUUUGCUGUCACUUAUAGAUGGAUCCGCGCCGCAUUAGCUAGUUGGUAAGGUAACGGCUUACCAAGGCAACGAUGCGUAGCCGACCUGAGAGGGUGAUCGGCCACACUGGAACUGAGACACGGUCCAGACCCCUACGGGAGGCAGCAGUAGGGAAUCUUCCGCAAUGGGCGAAAGCCUGACGGAGCAACGCCGCGUGAGUGAUGAAGGUCUUCGGAUCGUAAACCGCUGUUAUUAGGGAAGAACAAAUGUGUAAGUAACUAUGCACGUCUGACGGUACCUAAUCAGAAAGCCACGGCUAACUACGUG